CGGGACCUUCUGACUGCUCAGUCUAUGGACUAUCUUGUUGUGGAUUAUCACCAAGGACUUAUUUCAUUGUGGUUCUACUCUGUGGAGAUAUCUUAUGAACUGCUCUUUGCCUGUGCAUUCUGUGAUUCCGUGCUUACUGCUGAUGGAUUAACUGUCCCUUGGAUUAACAGAGCCAUUCCAGGCUGGAUCACUGGAUUUAAAAGCUCUGAAGGGAUUGGUAGCAUUUUCAUAAAUGAGCUCCCCAAACCUUGGAUCUUUGAUUGUUCUGCACAUAAAGAUGACUUGCUCCAAUCCUUGGGGAGAAGGAAACAGUCCAAACACCAUCCUCAAUUAUAAUUAGUAAUAAUUUAUAAAUAUGGACAAAACAAAAUGAACAGGAACCUGUUCUACUCACAUUAAUAAAACCACAGACAGAAAUGAAAACAUCUCCUCGAAUGCCAAGUAUUGUAACUUGCUCUAGAGAUUGGCGAUGUUUGAAUAAGUAGAA